AAGCAACACUCUGUGGCAAAUGUUAUUAGUCUUUUGCCCCAAUUUUCGCUUGCUAAAUAAAACAAGCGUAACCUAUUGCAGUAAUCUUUUUGUGAGAUGCACUGUUGUAUAAGCUUGAACAUC
rnacentral:snoRNA from 1 species